CUGCGUCCGGCAGGUACGUAAACAUAACGUGACUAGUAUGAAUUUUGUAAUCGUGUCACACCAACCGAUCAAAUAACCAAUUUAUGUCGUGGUUCGCACGCCGCCGCAGACCGCAGUUUCCACACGGCAACCACUACACAAAAGCCUUGGGUGAUGGUAAAGUCUUGGUAGGACGCGUCUCUUGAACGGUAGAAACACAACUUACACAAGUGAUUCCGACUGAUUUGUGAACUGACCGUAAACUAAAAUGACUUUCGAAGUUACGGUAGUACGGUACUUAUUUGACAGUCACAGUGUAGUGUGUACACUUGUUUACACGACUUCUGACGCAUCAAAAAUGCUAUCUAACGAAAGUUAUUUUUAGCCAAGAUCAGUUAAUAAGCAAUGGAAAAAUGUUUUAAUUUUAGAAACAUGUGCUAUUAUUUGGCCAAGUGCGGGAAGUGCCACUGUGACAACUCGUAAAUGUUUUUCUAUUACAUAAUGCCUGUCAACCGCCGCGCCGCGGCGGCAGCGCGUCACUGACUCACUGUGGGCCAGUGAUUCUACAGUGGCACUGACCUUACCAUCCGUGCUGAUUCUGUUCAAAGUGACAUUUAGUUUGUUCAUCACAAUUGCUGCGGCUGCCUGCUGGUUGUGGUUUGAGAGUUAGCCUAAAAUAAAUAUGCCUUUUAUGCUGAACAAAUGUAACAAACACUCUCUCCUUAGUCCUUAUUCCUCUCAUGAUGGUCUCAAUCACCGUCUCAUCAUCUCAUGUGUAUGGACAAAGAGGACAAUUUCAAAAAGAAUUAAUUAAUUUGCCUUUAUAUACCUGUACCAGAUUUUUAGUUGGUUCCAUUUAGAAAGCAGCUUCUUCCAUACCUAUAUAAAUGCACACUUGGUCAGUAAAUUUGAAAUUUAAUUCUUGCUGUAAACAAAACUAGAAUCAGGUCUGCCUUGGUGUGGUGUUGAUGAGUUUGUUCGUACAUGCUGCCAGUGCCACUCGAGGCUUGUUCUCCCUACGCCCAUUGACUGCAUUGCUGCCGAGCUUAGCCUCCACUGCAGGCAUGGCGAGCUCCUCAGAGACCCCGGAGUUCAGCGUCACCUAUGUUACCGCCCCCAACAUGGAGGUGGCCAAGACCCUGGCAAGGGGGCUGGUGGGGGCCAAGCUGGCUGCGUGCGUGAACAUCGUCCCUGGCGUCACCUCCGUGUGAUCAAGACGCGCGCUGCUCUGCUGGCCGAGGUCACCGAGUACGUCGUGGCCACUCACCCCUAUAUACGUGUGUGAGGUGCUGGCCGCUCCUGUGAGUGGCGGGGGUGUGUGAGGUGCUGGCCGCUCCUGUGAGUGGCGGGGGUGUGUGAGGUGCUGGCCGCUCCUGUGAGUGGCGGGGGUGUGUGAGGUGCUGGCCGCUCCUGUGAGUGGCGGGGGUGUGUGAGGUGCUGGCCGCUCCUGUGAGUGGCGGGGGUGUGUGAGGUGCUGGCCACUCCUGUGAGUGGCGGAGGUGUGUGAGGUGCUGGCCACUCCUGUGAGUGGCGGGGGUGUGUGAGGUGCUGGCCACUCCUGUAAUGGGGGGCAACCCCCCCUACCUCGCUUGGCUAGGGGAGAACAUUAAAUCUCCAUCUAAAUAGCCCUGCAAUAAUAAGAAAUUAUUCAAUAAAUUAUUCCAUUCACUAA